AGCCCGGCCGCCAGCGGCGCUCGCCAAGUUCGGAUCCGCAAGGACCGGGCCAGCGGGACGUCCGCGUGUCAGGGUGCACUUUCUCCGCGGUCGAGUGCUACGACCGGUUUCGAGGCGGUCAGAAGCCCGGCGGAAAGGUAGCGCCGCCCUUCGGGGUGUCGUGUUAUAGGCCGCCGCGGUGGACUCGCCGCGAGACCGAGGACGCUUGCCGCGCCGAGCGGUCCCGGGCCGUCUUGGGAGGUUCGACCUCGGCUGCACUGCUCCGCAGAGCACCGUAACCGCCGCCCUAGCACGGGUCCGGAGACUGCCGGCGCCUCGGGUCAGUAGCG
rnacentral:rRNA from 1 species